UCUGAAAUAGCUCAGUUGGUAGAGCACCAGAUUAUAAAUCGAAAGGUCCUUGGUUCGAUCCCGGGUUCCGGUA
rnacentral:tRNA from 1 species